AUUGAACGCUGGCGGCAGGCCUAACACAUGCAAGUAGAGGGCAGCGGCGGACGGGUGAGUAAUGUCUGGGAAACUGCCUGAUGGAGGGGGAUAACUACUGGAAACGGUAGCUAAUACCGCAUACCAUCAGAUGUGCCUAGGUCGGAUUAGCUAGUUGGUGGGGUAAAGGCCGACCAAGGCGACGAACCGUAACUGGUCUGAGAGGAUGAUCAGUCACACUGUAACGGAGACACGGUCCAGACUCCUACGGGAGGCAGCAGUGGGGGAUAUUGGACAAGGGGCGAAAGCCUGAUCCAGCCAUGCCGCGUGUGUGAAGAAGGUCUUCGGAUUGUAAAGCACUUUAAGUUGGGAGGCGUUACCAACAGAAUAAGCACCGGCUAACUUCGUGCCAGCCGCCGCGGUAAUAC
rnacentral:rRNA from 1 species